rnacentral:rRNA from 1 species
UACGGAGGGUGCAAACGUUGCUCGGAAUCAUUGGGCGUAAAGCGCACGUAGGCGGCUCAGCAAGUCGGGUGUGAAAGCCCUCGGCUCAACCGAGGAAGUGCAUUCGAAACUACUGAGCUUGAAUACUGGAGAAGAUCGCGGAAUUCCCGGUGUAGAGGUGAAAUUCGUAGAUAUCGGGAGGAACACCAGUGGCGAAGGCGGCGAUCUGGACAGAUAUUGACGCUGAGGUGCGAAAGCGUGGGGAGCAAACAGG